UCUGGUGCGCGAACGGUACUUGGGCAGUGUCGGGGAAGACAUAAAUAUGUUAUAAAGCGAUGUUAUGCAUUUCUUCUGGACCCUAGUAGAGAAGGAGCUCGCGCGCUCUGGCUUCCAACGGCCCGCCAACCGGCAUUUCGCGCCACUCUGGGGUCACGCGCCUCGCUGCUGGGAAAGCGCGAGCUGAAAACCGAAUCCUGUCAGCCGGGGAAAAACUGCGAAUAAAACCUCGCACAAAAGGGAAAAGAUGGGUUCUACCAGGAAGCUGAUCUUUUGCCCAGAAGUAUGGGCCUAAGGCAGUCACCUUUACAAUUCAUAUGGGAAAAGACUGACCAGGAAGAUGGUGCAUCCUGCAGUUUUACAACCUGGCACUAUGGCUUGCAGCUGCCCUCUGUGGUGGCAUGAAAAGUUUUGUUGCCAACGCAGUCCUCUGCAACUUUGUACAAGAAGCCAGGUGCCUCCCCCGUUCUGCCGUGUAAAAGGACAUAAGAAGAACAGCGAAUGUGCAAAAUCAAUACAGCUGCAACACAAAUUGGACCCCAAUGAGGACAUGUGAGUAUUUGAUAAUUAAGCAUAGCAAAUAGAUUGUUUCA